UACGUAGGGUGCAAGCGUUGUCCGGAAUUAUUGGGCGUAAAAGAGCUCGUAGGCGGUUUGUCGCGUCUGCUGUGAAAAAUCAGGGCUUAACCCUGGACCUGCAGUGGGGUACGGGGCAGACUGGAGUGGCGGUAGGGGGGAGAUCGGAAUUCCUGGUGUAGCGGUGAAAAUGCGCAGAUAUCAGGAGGAACACCGGUGGCGAAGGCGGAUCUCUGGGGCAUGAUCUGACGUGAGGAGCGAAAAGUGUGGGGGAG
rnacentral:rRNA from 1 species